GUGGACUGGUUACGAGUGAGAAUGUUGGCAUCAGUAGCGAGAUGUGGGUGAGAAUCCCACAGGCCGAAAACCUAAGGUUUCCUCAGGAAGGUUCGUCCGCUGAGGGUUAGUCGGGACCUAAGCCGAGGCCGAAAGGCGUAGGUGAUGGAUAACUGGUUGAUAUUCCAGUACCACUACCAUCGUUAUUAUCGAUGGCGUGACGCAGGAGGAUAGUGUGUGCUAGCUAUUGGAUGCUAGUCUAAGCGUUUAGGCAGUGAGAGUAGGCAAAUCCGCUCUCAUAAUGCUGAGGCGUGAUGGGGAAGGUUCUACGGAACCGAAGUACAUGAUUCCACGCUGCCAAGAAAAG
rnacentral:rRNA from 1 species